rnacentral:rRNA from 1 species
UACGUAGGUGGCAAGCGUUGUCCGGAUUUACUGGGCGUAAAGAGCGCGCAGGCGGUCGUUCAAGUCGCGUGUGAAAGCCCCCGGCUCAACUGGGGAGGGUCACGCGAUACUGAUCGACUCGAAGGCAGGAGAGGGUAGUGGAAUUCCCGGUGUAGCGGUGAAAUGCGCAGAUAUCAGGAGGAACACCGGUGGCGAAGGCGGGUCUCUGGGCCGUAACUGACGCUGAGGAGCGAAAGCGUGGGGAGCGAACAGG